UACGGAGGGUGCAAGCGUUAUCCGGAUUCACUGGGUUUAAAGGGUGCGUAGGUGGGCAGGUAAGUCAGUGGUGAAAUCUCUGGCCUUAACUCAGAAACUGCCAUUGAUACUAUCUGUCUUGAAUACCGUGGAGGUCAGCGGAAUAUGUCAUGUAGCGGUGAAAUGCUUAGAUAUGACAUAGAACACCAAUUGCGAAGGCAGCUGGCUACACGAAUAUUGACACUGAUGCACGAAAGCGUGGGGAUCAAACAGG
rnacentral:rRNA from 1 species